UACGUAGGGUGCGAGCGUUGUCCGGAAUUAUUGGGCGUAAAGAGCUUGUAGGCGGUUUGUCGCGUCUGCUGUGAAAAUCCGAGGCUCAACCCCGGACUUGCAGUGGGUACGGGCAGACUAGAGUGUGGUAGGGGAGACUGGAAUUCCUGGUGUAGCGGUGAAAUGCGCAGAUAUCAGGAGGAACACCGAUGGCGAAGGCAGGUCUCUGGGCCACUACUGACGCUGAGAAGCGAAAGCAUGGGGAGCGAACAGG
rnacentral:rRNA from 1 species